rnacentral:rRNA from 1 species
AUGGAAAGCCCUGUUGGUCGGCCAAAACUCGUUCGGGAACUGCCAGACCACACAGUCCCGUCUGGGUGUUUCGGUGUCGGUAUGACACCAUCGAGUUGGAGAUGCUCUAAUUUACUCUUUGGUUGGCUUUGGGCUUUCAGCAGCCGAAGGCUCCUCCGUUUUUUUUUCUUUUUUCUUUUUGCGGGGAUGGCUCCUCCGUUCUUUGCCUUUCCCUGUCUCCCUCUGCUUUUGCUGCCUCUUUUCUCACCACCAGCGCACCGCACCGCACCACGCCACGCCUUUGGCUUUGGUUCUUCCCCACCCGCCCACUUAACUCCUAAGCAAACGCUCCUCCUCCCCGCCUAUAAAUUGCGUCCCUCGUCCAAGCCCCAAUUCCCUUUUCCCUCUUUCUCUUUUCCCCUCUCUGGAAGGACUUGGAUUCUUUCUUUUCUCGCAGCAGCAACGCCACGCUGCUGCUCUUACUUCCUGUUGACCACAACCACCCUGCUCCCACCUUUCAAGUUUGAACCCUCUUUGCUUGGCAUCUACCACCUUUAG